rnacentral:rRNA from 1 species
GAUGGUAGGAUAGAGGCCUACCAUGGUGGUAACGGGUAACGGGGAAUUAGGGUUCGAUUCCGGAGAGGGAGCCUGAGAAACGGCUACCACAUCCAAGGAAGGCAGCAGGCGCGCAAAUUACCCAAUCCCGACACGGGGAGGUAGUGACAAUAAAUAACAAUACGGGGCUCUUUCGGGUCUCGUAAUUGGAAUGAGUACAAUUUAAAUCCCUUAACGAGGAACAAUUGGAGGGCAAGUCUGGUGCCAGCAGCCGCGGUAAUUCCAGCUCCAAUAGCGUAUAUUGAAGUUGUUGCAGUUAAAAAGCUCGUAGUUGAAUUUCGGGAUUGACACAUCGGUCGUGCCUUAAGGGGUAUGAACUGGUGUAGUCAAUUUCUCACCUUCUGGAGAACCGCGAUGCCCUUAAUUGGGUGUCGCGGGGAACCAGGACCUUUACUUUGAAAAAAUUAGAGUGUUUAAAGCAGGCAUUUUGCUUGAAUACAUUAGCAUGGAAUAAUAAAAUAGGACGGCAUGAUUCUAUUUUGUUGGUUUCUAGGAUCACCGUAAUGAUUAAUAGGGAUAGUUGGGGGCAUUAGUAUUCAAUUGUCAGAGGUGAAAUUCUUGGAUUUAUUGAAGACUAACUACUGCGAAAGCAUUUGCCAAGGAUGUUUUCAUUAAUCAAGAACGAAAGUUAGGGGAUCGAAGACGAUCAGAUACCGUCGUAGUCUUAACCAUAAACUAUGCCGACUAGGAAUCAGACGAUGUUAAUUUUUUAAUGACUCGUUUGGCACCUUACGGGAAACCAAAGUGUUUGGGUUC